rnacentral:rRNA from 1 species
UACGGGGGGGGCAAGCGUUGUUCGGAAUUACUGGGCGUAAAGGGCGCGUAGGCGGUCUUGUAAGUCUUGUGUGAAAUCCCUCGGCUUAACUGAGGAACUGCACGGGAUACUGCGAGACUUGAGUUCGGGAGAGGGAAGCGGAAUUCCGGGUGUAGCGGUGAAAUGCGUAGAUAUCCGGAGGAACACCGGUGGCGAAGGCGGCUUCCUGGACCGACACUGACGCUGAGGCGCGAAAGCUAGGGGAGCAAACGGG